rnacentral:rRNA from 1 species
GAUGAACGCUGGCGGCGUGCCUAAUACAUGCAAGUCGAGCGAACGGACGAGAAGCUUGCUUCUCUGAUGUUAGCGGCGGACGGGUGAGUAACACGUGGAUAACCUACCUAUAAGACUGGGAUAACUUCGGGAAACCGGAGCUAAUACCGGAUAAUAUUUUGAACCGCAUGGUUCAAAAGUAAAAGACGGUCUUGCUGUCACUUAUAGAUGGAUCCGCGCUGCAUUAGCUAGUUGGUAAGGUAACGGCUUACCAAGGCAACGAUGCAUAGCCGACCUGAGAGGGUGAUCGGCCACACUGGAACUGAGACACGGUCCAGACUCCUACGGGAGGCAGCAGUAGGGAAUCUUCCGCAAUGGGCGAAAGCCUGACGGAGCAACGCCGCGUGAGUGAUGAAGGUCUUCGGAUCGUAAAACUCUGUUAUUAGGGAAGAACAUAUGUGUAAGUAACUGUGCACAUCUUGACGGUACCUAAUCAGAAAAGCACGGCUAACUACGUGCCAGCAGCCGCGGUAAUACGUAGGUGGCAAGCGUUAUCGGGAAUUAUUGGGCGUAAAGCGCGCGUAGGCGGUUUUUUAAGUCUGAUGUGAAAGCCCACGGCUCAACCGUGGAGGGUCAUUGGAAACUGGAAAACUUGAGUGCAGAAGAGGAAAGUGGAAUUCCAUGUGUAGCGGUGAAAUGCGCAGAGAUAUGGAGGAACACCAGUGGCGAAGGCGACUUUCUGGUCUGUAACUGACGCUGAUGUGCGAAAGCGUGGGGAUCAAACAGGAUUAGAUACCCUGGUAGUCCACGCCGUAAACGAUGAGUGCUAAGUGUUAGGGGGUUUCCGCCCCUUAGUGCUGCAGCUAACGCAUUAAGCACUCCGCCUGGGGAGUACGACCGCAAGGUUGAAACUCAAAGGAAUUGACGGGGACCCGCACAAGCGGUGGAGCAUGUGGUUUAAUUCGAAGCAACGCGAAGAACCUUACCAAAUCUUGACAUCCUUUGACAACUCUAGAGAUAGAGCCUUCCCCUUCGGGGGACAAAGUGACAGGUGGUGCAUGGUUGUCGUCAGCUCGUGUCGUGAGAUGUUGGGUUAAGUCCCGCAACGAGCGCAACCCUUAAGCUUAGUUGCCAUCAUUAAGUUGGGCACUCUAAGUUGACUGCCGGUGACAAACCGGAGGAAGGUGGGGAUGACGUCAAAUCAUCAUGCCCCUUAUGAUUUGGGCUACACACGUGCUACAAUGGACAAUACAAAGGGCAGCGAAACCGCGAGGUCAAGCAAAUCCCAUAAAGUUGUUCUCAGUUCGGAUUGUAGUCUGCAACUCGACUACAUGAAGCUGGAAUCGCUAGUAAUCGUAGAUCAGCAUGCUACGGUGAAUACGUUCCCGGGUCU